ACAGAGCAGGGACUCAAAAAGCAACAUCAGAGUUGGAGUAGCUUGUGGAAGAAGCAAGUGAAGUUCUGUAAAGCAGUCUUAUUAAUGGUAUUCUUGAGCCCGCAAGGAAGGCAAAUGCAACACACUCGUUCCCACGAAACAACCAGCACAGGAGAUUUCUGUGGCUAAACAACGCUGUAAUGGAAAUCACAACACAGUCAGGCCCACCAUUCUGGUGGAAGAACAAAACCCAAAUGAAACCCGUCAAAUGGUUAUGCAACUUUUACUACAUAUAACAUGGUUACCAUGCUUUAGGGGGGUGGGCAAUAAAAAAUAAUAGAAAUAUUAAAGACUAUCUAAAUACCCUUUAUAGGAAAUCCAAUAAAAAAGUAUGUUGGAAAUACAAAA
rnacentral:lncRNA from 1 species